GCGGGCAUCGUAUAAUGGUAUUACCUCAGAUUUCCAAUCUGAUGAUGUGGGUUCGAUUCCCCCUGCCCGCUCCA
rnacentral:tRNA from 1 species